rnacentral:tRNA from 1 species
AGAUAAUGAAGUAAUAAUUACAAUUAGUUUCGACCUAAUAUUAGGAAUAAAUUUCCCUUAUCUA